rnacentral:lncRNA from 1 species
GGUGGGGGGGUCAGCCCCCCACCUGGCCAGCCGUGCCGUCCGGGAGGGAGGUGGGGGGGUCAGCCCCCCGCCCGGCCAGCCGCCCCGUCCGGGAGGUGAGGGGCACCUCUGCCCGGCCGCCCCUACUGGGAAGUGAGGAGCCCCUCAGCCCGGCCAGCCACCCCGUCCGGGAGGGAGAUGGGGGGGUCAGCCCCCCCACCCGGCCAGCCGCCCCGUCCGGGAGGGAGGUGGGGGGGUCAGCCCCCCGCCUGGCCAGCCGCCCCGUCUGGGAGGUGAGGGGCCCCUCUGCCCAGCCGCCCCUACUGGGAAGUGAGGAGCCCCUCUGCCCGGCCAGCCGCCCCAUCCGGGAGGGAGGUGGGGGUGUCAGCCCCCCGCCCGGCCAGCCGCCCUGUCCGGGAGGGAGGUGGGGGGGGUCAGCCCCCCUGCCCGGCCAGCCGCCCCGUCCGGGAGGUGAGGGGUGCCUCUGCCCGGCCGCCCCUACUGGGAAGUGAGGAGCCCCUCUGCCCGGCCAGCCGCCCCGUCCGGGAGGGAGGUUGGGGGG